AUUGAACGCUGGCGGCAGGCUUAACACAUGCAAGUCGAGCGGGGUGAUGGUGCUUGCACUAUCACUUAGCGGCGGACGGGUGAGUAAUGCUUAGGAAUCUGCCUAUUAGUGGGGGACAACAUCUCGAAAGGGAUGCUAAUACCGCAUACGUCCUACGGGAGAAAGCAGGGGAUCACUUGUGACCUUGCCCUAAUAGAUGAGCCUAAGUCGGAUUAGCUAGUUGGUGGGGUAAAGGCCUACCAAGGCGACGAUCUGUAGCGGGUCUGAGAGGAUGAUCCGCCACACUGGGACUGAGACACGGCCCAGACUCCUACGGGAGGCAGCAGUGGGGAAUAUUGGACAAUGGGGGGGAACCCUGAUCCAGCCAUGCCGCGUGUGUGAAGAAGGCCUUAUGGUUGUAAAGCACUUUAAGCGAGGAGGAGGCUCUUUUGGUUAAUACCCAAGAUGAGUGGACGUUACUCGCAGAAUAAGCACCGGCUAACUCUGUGCCAGCAGCCGCCGUAA
rnacentral:rRNA from 1 species